GUGGACCACGAGAGAGUCAGAGAGAUGAGAAAGAAACCAGGAGAGAAAGAACGAGAGAGUGUAGAUACAUGAUGAGGAUAAGAAUGGUGGAAAGAAAGAGAAAUAAUAAAGGAAAAAUUAAUGGGAAGAGAAAAAUAAAUAGAAAGAAAGAGAAAAGAGAAAAGAAAAUCAGGAUAGCCUGUUUUAAAAGCGUUAAUGGUGGAUGCAAAACUUAAAUAAAUUAAAUUUCCUUUUCUAAAUGAUCAUUUACACGUGAUUCGGUGAACUUAAGGUUUUCAAGAGUAUUACAGACAUUUCUUACAAAAUCUACAAUUUUC
rnacentral:lncRNA from 1 species